rnacentral:pre_miRNA from 1 species
UUCUUCCGUCGUCCCAGCGAAGGCUGGGACCGCUCCCGUCGCGGCGCCAUCGCCAGCGACCCCAGCCUUCGCUGGGGUGACGAUUUGU